CCAUUUCAGUGAACUUAAUGAUACUAUUAUGGAAGCUCAACUGAGGACUAGGCAAGUUCCACCUCUACUUCCUAUGAAAGAAGCCGUUGAUCACUAUUUGGAAUCCAAUAAUAGAUUGCUUAUACUGAUGGAAUAACAAAUAUACUGGUAGAAAUGAAUGUUAUAGCACCACAUGCUUUUGUUUCAUAAGUUUGGUUUACCCACAUUGUGAAAAUAUUGUGGGUAAUCAACCAACUUAUGAAGAGUUAGUUGAACGACUUAAUGAUACAACUUCCCGCCUUAAUGCUAUUAACGAACAACUUAGUGUAGUUGUGGAUAUACUUCGUCAUAACAAUUUGAUGGCACCGCCUCCACCACCUCCAACAGACCAAGCUUCAGAUGCAAAUUUAAGAGUCGCCAUCUAUUUCAGUUCGGGAGUCACAAGAUGAUUCUUAGUUUAUUUACACUAAUUUACUAAGGAAUGAACUUUAUGAAGUUUUUUUUAUUUUGGUAGGGGUAACCUUAAAAUGAUAACUUUAUGACUUAUUUUAGUAUUGAACAUUAUAAAGAAUUUUAGCAUUAAACAUUUUAUAA